AUGGGCGAACCGCAGUUUAUCAUCGGCACCUCCAUGAGCGAUAUGCUCGCCAGCAUGGAGCGCGACGGACGGGACCCUGCGACGCUCGACCUUGGCUCAAACUAUCUGCUCUACUUCGUGUACGACUACCUCCCGCACCCGCCGGUCUCCCCCACCGCCGCUCACUCGCUCUCCGGCGUGCCGCGGGCCCCCGGCGGCGUGGACCGCAUCAGCCGCCUCCCCGAUGCGGUCCUCGCUGAAAUCCUCUCCCGCCUCCCCGCCAAGGACGCCGCGCGCACCUCCGCCCUCGCCUCGCGCUGGCGCCCCCUUUGGCGCUCGGCGCCCCUCUCUCUCGUCGACGCCCAUCUACUUCCGGACGGCGGCGCGGCCGGGCAGCUCCCCAUCGGCGUUCCCUCUCCCCGUGCCGUCACCGCCGCGGUGUCCCGCAUCCUCGCGGCGCAUCCAGGGCCCUUCCGCUGCGUCCACCUCACCCGCAGCACCAUGGACGAGCACCGAGGCGAGAUGGCCCGCUGGAUCGACACCCUCGUCGCCAAGGGGGUCAAAGAACUCGUCUUUGUCAACCGCCCUUGGCCGAUUGACCUGCGCCUCCCCGCCACGAUCUUCGGCUGCGCCUCCCUCACACCAUUCCCCAACCUCAAGGAGCUCGGCCUCUGCAUGACUGUCAUGGAGGACCGUGAUCUGGCCUUCAUGCUUGAAAGAUGCCCCGUCCUGGAGUUCCUCGUCCUCAUGGGAAGCCAGACCGGAGUGCGCCUCCGCCUCGUCAGCCAGAGACUGCGCUGCGUUCAGCUUGGCCAUGCCUUAUUGGAGUACAUCGACGUGGUGGAUGCCCCUAGCCUGGAGAGGCUCUUCUUUUCGGAAAUUGUCCCCCCUGGCAAGCUCAAGUCCUUCAGGAAGAGGAACGACGACAACCACUCCACCAUGAACGGCUCCUCCAGGAUCAAGAUUGGGCGUGCACCUAACCUCCGUGUGCUGGGAUACAUUCAGCCAGGAGAGCAAGAGUUGGGGAUUAGCAACACCAUCGUCGUGGCUGGUAGCAAGGAGAACAUUCUCCCUAGUGUCCAGAUUUUGUCCAUGGAGGUGCAGUUCGGUGUCCGCAAUGCUGUCAAGAAAGUGCCUGGUUUCCUCAGAUGCUUUCCUAACCUGGAGACGCUACAUGUUUAUUCCCCUCCCAUAUCUGAAGAGUCCACUGGCAAGGUCAAUCUCAAGUUCUGGCAGGAGGGCGGUCCCAUCAAUUGUGUGGUGCAGAGCAUGAAGAAGGUGUUCUUCUACGAGUUCCAUGGGUUGAGAAGCGAGGUUGCUUUCCUCAAGUUCAUCGCAGAGACCGGUCGGGUGCUGGAGCAUAUGGUGGUUCUGGUGGCCAAAGAAUGUUUCUCCUCCGGAGAUGAUAAUGUGAGGGCCAAGCUGAAGCCUCUGGCGAGCGUGAAAUGGAACAACCAGGCUUGCAAAGUACAGCUCUUCAAGAGCGGGCGCACUAACCCGGGAGGUCCUGUUUACAGCAACAAGAUAGCUUCCGACUUUGGGUUUGCUGACCCUUUUGACCUCCUCGGGCACUACUAG
rnacentral:rRNA from 1 species